GUUUUCAACUCUUCCAGCCUACUCUCUCAAACAAAAUACCCUAAUCGCUUCACUUAAUCAUUUUCAUUUGGAAAAAUCUAGUGAAAAUUGUUGGCUUCAUCCAAUCUUUAGUGUAAAAUCUCCAAUAACCAUAACCUACUGAACCUUAAAUCAAAGCCCCAAACCUUUGAGAGGUAAAUUAGUGAAGCACUCUUAGUAAUUGGUGGAACAUUCUUCCAAAUCCCUGAAGAGAAUAGAUCCCUAUUGAGGAAUCCUCCAGAGCGAGUCUUGCCCUGCCCUUGUCGGUUGGUAAUUGAUGAGUAUGAUGAACAAUCUGAGGUAGCUGAACGACUAAGAAUAAAGGUAAGUUUUUGCCUUUGGUUUAUUAUUUUAAAUAAUUGUGUGCUGAUGGCAUGGCUUAUAUACAUUAUGAAUCUCAAAUUCUU